AUUGAACGCUGGCGGCAGGCCUAACACAUGCAAGUCGAGCGGAUGAAGGGAGCUUGCUCCUGGAUUCAGCGGCGGACGGGUGAGUAAUGCCUAGGAAUCUGCCUGGUAGUGGGGGAUAACGUCCGGAAACGGGCGCUAAUACCGCAUACAUCCUGAGGGAGAAAGUGGGGGAUCUUCGGACCUCACGCUAUCAGAUGAGCCUAGGUCGGAUUAGCUAGUUGGUGGGGUAAAGGCCUACCAAGGCGACGAUCCGUAACUGGUCUGAGAGGAUGAUCAGUCACACUGGAACUGAGACACGGUCCAGACUCCUACGGGAGGCAGCAGUGGGGAAUAUUGGACAAUGGGCGAAAGCCUGAUCCAGCCAUGCCGCGUGUGUGAAGAAGGUCUUCGGAUUGUAAAGCACUUUAAGUUGGGAGGAAGGGCAGUAAGUUAAUACCUUGCUGUUUUGACGCUACCAACAGAAUAAGCACCGGCUAACUUCGUG
rnacentral:rRNA from 1 species